ensembl:lncRNA
CCGAAGCCGGGUCGGCAGAGAGGAGGACGCCACCGGACCGGGCCGGGAGCCCCCGGCACUUUGAGACGAGCGCAGCCAACAUUCGGAUUUGACACCAGGCCCUCGGCCAAUCCGAGAGGGCUUUUCACCUGCCAUCGCUUCCUCCGCCAAUCAGACGGCGUGUUUGGGCCGAGAGCCCUCCCCGGCCAAUCGGGAGCCGGCUGAGCCACUUAGUUAAUGAUGCAGCAGUACAGGGAAGACUAUCACAUGUGAGCUGGAAGGCUGCCAACAUGGAGACACGGAGAGAGCAAGCUGGUGUGGAAGCGUCUGGAAGGCACCGUGUACCUGUCCCCAGUGCUUUUAAAAACUGGCCGACGUGCCCUGCAAUGAUCACUGCGUCACCGUUUGCCACUUUCCGAACUACGCAGUGGCAAAGCCCCGAGCCCAGCUCACAGGGUGGCUGUUAACCCCUGCACCCAGCCCUGCCUCCACGCCAGCCCUCGGGGGGACGGCAGGGAAUAAAAAGCCCGAGCAAAACACGAAAACAGCAGUCUGCAAAGUUGUCAUCUCUCCCCCACGACUACUGCCCUCCUCUGCAUUACAGCAAUGCCGGCAAGAGUGGCAUUCGUACAACCUGUACCGACGUUCCAUUGAGAAAACAGCUCUGACGCAGAGCAGAGCAAUCAUACCCAGCCGAAAUAAUAAUGAAGGCACUUGGGGAGCUGAACUUAGGGACGAUGGGGGAAGGGGACGCCCUGCAAAGCAUUACAAAACGUAGAUGCAGCUCCAGCCCCAUCCUGAUCAAAGGGUACGUACGUGGGAAAGACGAACCGGACCGAGGAGCUCUGCCCGUGCACCAGCUGCGCAGCGUUCAGCCCUCUGCUUGCUGUGUAGCGCCGCAGAAUAGAAGGUUCCAGAAUUUUCCUUUCCGUUAACCCUUUCGGUGUCUGCCCACUCUCCCUCCCCGCGGGAUUAAGCGCGCCGGGUCUCCAGCAUCGUCAACGGGCGAAGCCUCCUACGCCAACCGAGCCCAGAUAUGUUCUCUAAAUGACACUGUCUGGUGUCAGGAGCUCCGUCCCUGGUGUUGGUAUUACUUCUCUUUCUUGAGCCCUCUCUCCCUCUCCGGCUGCUUCUCUCCCCUCUUGCUGCAGCAGGGCUGUUGCUGGUAGACCUAUCGACGGAGCUUGCUCUCUCGCUGAGCUCUGUGACGCAGCUCUAAAUUCUCCAGCCUGCUCCUUGUGUUAUAACAGCGGAACUGCAGCCUUCCAGGGAGCCCGUGCCAGCAGUGCCAGGGCCAGGCACACCGAGGGAGCCUCACUCCUGGACGCUGCACCUUUUUUUGCGUCUGAAGAGCCUGAGCUAUUUUGGGAUUUGUCUGUACUACACUGAAAAUGACACCUGUUACACACAGGCAUAAAUGAGAAGAAUUGCAAGCUCCUGGUUUCUCAGAUACAGUUCUGCCACGGAAAAAAAGAUAGGAGCUGGGGGUGUGGGAGGGCAGCCCUGGCUCUCAGCGUGGGGUGAGGAACUGACCCUUGUGUAGUCAGACAGCAGUACAGGGAGUGCAUGAGGCUUGUUGCAUCUGAUGCAGACCUCCCUGUGACCAAGAGCAGUAGUGCUUGAUCAUCGAAACGCUGCAAGAUGGGGUUUCAUACAUGACCAAACCCAUGGGACUUCAAGCCUUACAGAUCUGCUUUGUGGCCAAAGCUGCAAGCGUUAACUGUUUCAGUUAAUUGUAAGAGUGCUUCAGCUACUUAAAUGAGUCACUCAGCAGUGAUGCUCUGAAGUAGGCCAGCGUUUUGUGCAAGGUUACGCAGUUGGUUUCCGUUACCCCUGAGUUAUCUCAGAAGCUCAACCACCACACAGAGGCAGAGCGGAUUUCCGUGUUCCCCAUUGCUGUGUCUGCCUGCAGCCGAUCUGCAGUGCCCCAGGGAGGUGUCAGCAGCGUGCAGACCACCCCGCAGCCCCCAGGCACUGAGCAUGGCAGUGGGAUGGACAGAGCCUGAGAAUUGGGAUGGCUGAUGGGCAUGCUUGGCUCCCAGCAACGCUGGUAUAUUAAGAAAGUAAAACAGAGGUUUGGCUUAGUUCAAAUGGUAUGCUUUUGGUUGCUUUCAAGGGAAGAGCAGUGUUUAUUUAAUGGGUUGCUUUUGUUUGAAAAUGACCAGCCGUGGGACAUUUCUGUCUUUACCUGAUCAUAAAGCAUUUACUCUGUGGAGGCACUUCAGCUCCCAAGGAGGAUCAAAGCCACUGUGCCCUGUGAAGCGCUCAGGUUUAUUGCUAUCCGGAUGAUUUUCAUUAGUGCAUGUGGCUGUGAUGAGCUCAACCACCAUCGCUGUGAUACACAUCUUUGCCAGCCCAGCGUGUGCUCACUGUGGUCCCAUCCAACCAUAGAGCAGGUUUCCUGUUUCACAUGGGGACACCAAGGCUGUGAAUGGACGGAGGGUCGCUGUGCUCAGCCCCCAGCCCUGGAAGGCAUCUGAGAGCCCAGCUGACCAGUAGACCUCACCGAGGUUUUUUCCCAGACUGGAAGGUUUCCACCAAGUCAUGAAGAUGGUUGUGUUUGGGAUGGUCCGGUGGAUCCUGUGCCUCGUGUCAGCUCUGCCGUUUGGGGAAGGCUGAGACAUUGCAGCUCUCUUAGGCUGUUGAGGACUAGAAGAUGGCCGUGGGCUGGGCAGGUCUUCAGCAGUGACUCUGGGGGAGUAGCCCCUACAGGUGAAUCUGUGGCAAGGUAGAAGGUCCAUGGUUCUCAUAAGGAAGUGAAGGAGUUGCAAAAUGGGAGCUUCUGCAGAAAAGUGUCUUCUGGCACUAGCUGUGCCCCAUUCCUACCAUCAAUAAGCCUUGGGUGAAAAGAGGGAGGUGCUCCAGGGGGACUUGGGAAAGCAGACUGGAUGUGACAGUGAAAAAUAAGGCUAUUGGAGGCACACAGCCAUGAGCCAGGAAUGGCUGAGCCCUGAGUCCCACAGGGACUCCCUCCAUAGGUCCGCCUACAGGAGCACCAGGCUCCCACGGGUUCACUUUCAGCUGCUGAGAGCCAUUCUAUCCUUAGCACUGCCCUCCCCAGAGCUGCCACAAAUGUGUUCUGCACUGUGAGUCCAGAGAUCCACAGCUGCAGCUCUGGAGUGGGAGCUUUCCUUGGCAGCUCUGGGUGAGACGUGGGCGAGGGCACCAGUGGAAGGAGCCCCGUUACGCCCUGACCCGUGUGAGCACACGUCUGUUUCUGCGCAGCCUCCCUCGCAGACCCGCCGAAAUCUGGGUUAUAUAAUGCCACUGCUGCCUCGAAACAGGGAGGUUAAAAUGAGGUCGUCCAAGAUGGGAGCUGCCUGCAGCCUGCAGCCGCCUCGGGAGGACUGCCUGCGCCGAGCCCUGCGCGCAGAGGAGCACUGCAACAUAAA